rnacentral:rRNA from 1 species
UGCCCUACGGGAGGCAGCAGUGGGGAAUAUUGGACAAUGGGGGGAACCCUGAUCCAGCCAUGCCGCGUGUGUGAAGAAGGCCUUUUGGUUGUAAAGCACUUUAAGCGAGGAGGAGGCUCUCUUGGUUAAUACCUGAGAAGAGUGGACGUUACUCGCAGAAUAAGCACCGGCUAACUCUGUGCCAGCAGCCGCGGUAAUACAGAGGGUGCGAGCGUUAAUCGGAUUUACUGGGCGUAAAGCGCGCGUAGGUGGUUAAGUAAGUCAAAUGUGAAAUCCCCGAGCUUAACUUGGGAAUUGCAUUCGAUACUGGUUAGCUAGAGUAUGGGAGAGGAUGGUAGAAUUCCAGGUGUAGCGGUGAAAUGCGUAGAGAUCUGGAGGAAUACCGAUGGCGAAGGCAGCCAUCUGGCCUAAUACUGACACUGAGGUGCGAAAGCAUGGGGAGCAAACAGGAUUAGAUACCCUAGUAGUCAA